rnacentral:misc_RNA from 1 species
CUUCGCCAGUUGUUGAGGGAGGAGGACGGCGAGAGAGGGUGACCUGCAAGCCAAACACACACACGCACACACCCAAGUACACCUUCACCGGCUUUCGUAGAGAAGGUCGUUUUAUCCGCCAUGAUGCGUUCUCAGGGGGAUCACUCUGUGAGCAGCGACUCGGCCGCUGCGCAAGGUCGUUUCAAGCGGCAGCGCGAACGCGAGGCGGAGGCGAAGCGUCAGGAGCAGCGUGUUGAGGAUGUGCUGGCCCACACAACCCACAUCGUCGACACGAUUGCCUCUAUCAACGGCAAGUACGUGCUCAGCCUCAAUGGUGAGCGGGCGCGACUCGCGCACCAGGUAACGGAGCUGCAGAAGCGACUGACGAAGCACCAGCUGCAGCAUGCCGAGGACACCACUCAACGCGUGUUAAGUGAUCUCGCGCGUCUUCGCGGCGCGGUGACGAGCAGCGUCAAGGAUCAACUCAUCGAGUCGCUGCUGAACGAAGCAGAAAGGGGCCGCGGCUAUGCCUUCGACGCCGUGUGCGCGCACGUGGACGAGGCCCUUCACGGGACCCUCACCGUGGCCGAGGCCGAGCUGUCGGCCGAGCGACAACUAAAUCGGACGCUUGUGGAACAGCUAAUGAGCUACACACAAACCAUCUUAAGGGAAGUGAAGGGCGCCACGUCGCGCGCCUUUACGGCCGAGGUGGAGGUGAUGCAGCGCGACGUGCUCGUGGCAAAGCUGCGGGCGGCGUGCACGUUUGCCGAGAACCGACUGGUUCGCCAUGAGCAGGAGGUGGACGCCCUCAUGCGGGUGGUGGCGCAGCUCGCCGAGAAGAGCCGCUACGCCGAGUCGGCUCGGGCAGAUGUGCGCCGAGUAAAGCACCACGUACGCUUACUGGAACAACACCUCGGACUGAACGAGAUUGUGGCUGCCGUGCGGGCCGAGGUGGCGCGUGCAUCUUCGGACGCAUAUGCGGAGACGCAGCGAAAGAGUGCACCGCCUGCACCGCCGGAUCCGUCACUGCGGUCUAGCGCGCCGCACUACUACGCUCUCAAGAUGCUGGAGCACAAGGAGAUGACACUGACGGAUCUCGUGGACUCGUGGCAGCAGCAAGAGUCGCGAAUUAUGGAGGCAGAGCAGCGGUAUGCGUGCCUCGAAGGCGUCGUGAAGCGUGUGCAACAUGAUGCCCUCGUUGUGCACCAACGCUACCUGGAGGAGAAGCAGCGUCGCGAGAUUGCCGACAGACGCAUUACGGACAUGGUGCGGGAGCGGCUCCACCCACAGAAAGACCCAGCCAUCUCGCAGGAGGUGCAGCGGCUGCGGUGGGCGUAUACGGAGGUGGUGGACGACGCCGCACAGCUGGCCGUGAACUUAAAGGUGUGCCGCGACGAGCUUCGACGCGCGCAGGAGGAGGCGGCUUGUUUGUCUGCCCAAGUCCGGCAGCUGCAGAGGGAUGCCGAAAUGGACCAGGUGGCGCUAGCGAUCCAAGAACUGCGCAGCGAGUACACCGCGCGUGUGCGUGACCUCGAGGAGUCAUCGACGCGAACCGAGAUGCAGCUGAGACUUGCCCAGAGCGUGUCGACGCAGUACAGGGCCGCCGCCACCGAGGCUACUGCAGCACUGCAGCGGGUCGCGCAAGCUAACACGGAGCUGAGUACGGCGGCUCUGCAGGUGGUUUCUGAUGACCCUGGCUCCGUUGCACGCUCAAACGCCGCGUGGAGGGAGGAGGUGGAGCGGAUAGAGACGCAAUCGGAAAAUGUUCUCGCGAUGAUUAAGCUCAUGGCGGGGUUUGAAAGUUCGCAGGCCAACCUGUAUGAUGCUCAGCUCAAAGAGCUGAUGCGGCAGUGGACACUCGCGCGGGAGGCGGAGAAGGCAGCGAUGACUUCCUCUGCUGCUGCUGAAGACCUGCGCAGCGAGGGAGGGCUGAUGGCCGUCAGCCGCGAAGCGGUCGACGACGGCACCGAGUCGCGCACACUUGUCUCCUCGUCCAUCGCUGCCGAGGAAUCGAUGGACAAGAUGAAUGCCGUGCUGGGUGCCUCUCAGUUUGCGCUGCGUGAGGCGCUUGUGCUGCUGAAUACGUCCUUGCAGAGCACGGACGUGGAGAGGUCACACCUUGUGGAUACUUCUCUUUCAGAUGCGCAGUGUGUCUCAGAGUUGAUGGCAGAGGUGCGGCGUGUCACAGCAGAGCGUGACAGGCUGCGUGCACAGGUGAAGGUGUGCCAGGAGUUGCUGGAGAAGAACCAUGUGACGGUGGUGGAGCGGGCGCUGAUGCAUGACAUUCCAGUGGAGGACUCUCUCAACGUGGCCGAGGCCACAGAGCGCAUCGAGGUGCUGAAGAAUCAGCUGGCGGCGGCCAAGCAGGUGUGCGAGCGCUCUUUGAACGAGGUGAAGCAGGCCACAGCCGAGAAGGAUGACGUCGAGCUGCGUUUCACACAGCUGAAGCGCGAGCACGAGGUGUUGCAGGGCCACUCGAGCCGUCUCAAGGACAAGCUGCACAGGAGCCUGGCGAGGGAGUCUGAACUGAUGGAGAAAAAUAUGGCGCUGCAGACACAGCUCACAGACCUCGUCCAGCCGCCGAGCGCCCCCGCACAGGAGGCAGAGGCGUCGUCGACUGCACUGCAGACUACCGCGACUCACCUCACGGACCUCUUCUCGUCUCUCCAGGAGUCGCUGGGCAGCCUCAACGCGGAGAUCAUUUCCCUGCGCCGCGAGCGUUUCGAUGAGGCCUCAAUAGACGCGGACGCUGGCAGCGGCGGCAAUAACGGCGCUGCCGCUGGAGGCGCCGAAGACACACUUUUAGUCGACUCCUUGAGUCGCUCCGGUAUGAUGAACAUCGUUCGUGUGCUAAAGGAUACGCUGCACAAGGCCGGUCUGCUGAAGGCCUCACUGAAGAGUUUCGCUGGGGCUCAGGCUAUCGGCCUGUGUGCUGCUGCCAAGGUGUGCGAAAGCGGUGCUGGAGGCAGCGGUGGUGCGACGGCUGCAAGCGUCGUGCCGCAUCCAUCGCCUGAGACGCAGCAGCGGGCACUCGAGUACCGCUCUUCUCUGCUCGAAGCCAAGCUCGCGAGCAUGGAGGCAGAACGGCUGGAGAUGCAGGAGCGCGUGCAAAAGGCGGAGAAGACGACGGCAGACAUGGAGGCGGCGAAUCAGCGACUCCUCACCAUCUCCAAAAGUGUGAUGGAGAAGCACAACAUGCUCAAGACAGAAAACGAGCAGCUUCGGGCGCAGCUGCUACAGCUAACUGCCGCCACAAACGCUGCAUCCACACCGCGGCCAGAGCCUCACGCGACGUCAUCUGUCCCAGAUAUGCAUGCGGUUGAGGCCCCCGUCUCAUCCCAGCACGUCGUGUUCAGUUCGACCGCUGCUCCCACGUCUUCGACAUCAGCGGCCACGCAACCGUCAGCACCGCCUGCUCGUGAUGGCUCGUCUGCUGCGAAUGCGUGCGUGGCCGAGUCUGCGGCGCCGAGCGCGGAGGAGCAGGGGGAGGGGGAGGAGGCCGAGAGGGUGCCUGAGAGUAUGGCUGCCAGCAUGGACGUCGUACUCCCAUCGGCGCCAAUGGACGAGGAGCUCAUCCCGGAGACGGGGCCAUCGACAGGCUCUGAAACAUGAUGUAGCGGAGGGCGGCGUCCCGGCCAUGGGAGUGAUGGAGACGCACAUGUGGGCAGGCUACGCGUCUCUCUCUCUCUCCCGUUACUUGUCCGUGUCUAAUUGGAGCGUGUUGUCGUUGCUUGCUGCGGUGUUGGUGCCGGUGUGCGGUGGACGCUGUGAAGCGCCGCAGGUGGGAGGGGGAUUUGGAGGAGGACGGGUCCGUCGGGGGGGGGCGGGGGCUGAGGAUGUGUUGAAAAGCCCGCGAGCGAUUCAUGACCUCACCCCGUGCUUCGUUGUGCCCCUCGCCCCCUCCUCCACACCCCUUUGCAGGUGGGCAAGCCGUGUGCGAAAAAAAAAGAUCAUCGAAGAGGACUCCAGCGAGACGGCCGGAGUGGCGGCCAACGGGCAGGCGCCAAAAGGCAGCACCAAUGCCAGGGGAGGGGCCAGGAACACGUAUAUUGUGUGGCGGCGUUGCUGGUUUCUCUGCCGCUUCCCAGCAAAAUGAUCACUC